rnacentral:rRNA from 1 species
UACGUAGGGGGCGAGCGUUGUCCGGAUUUAUUGGGCGUAAAGAGCGUGUAGGCGGCUAGAUAGGUCCGUUGUGAAAACUCGAGGCUCAACCUCGAGACGUCGAUGGAAACCAUCUGGCUAGAGUCCGGAAGAGGAGAGUGGAAUUCCUGGUGUAGCGGUGAAAUGCGCAGAUAUCAGGAGGAACACCCGUGGCGAAAGCGGCUCUCUGGGACGGUACUGACGCUGAGACGCGAAAGCGUGGGGAGCAAACAGG